rnacentral:lncRNA from 1 species
AACUUCUGCAGGAUACCCUCACCUUGAAGGGGAGAGUAAGCUGCCUUACGUUUCAAGGCUGCCAUUUCAGCACCCCUGGGGAAAGGAGUUACUGCUGAGCCAUGUGGUGACCACCAACAGCAUCUGCCUGCAGGAAAGGGCUGUCUAGAGCUUGCAGGGCUGGUCCCCUCAUAGAAAUGUGCAUGUUCAGGACAAUGAACAGACAGGAGCAUACCUGUCCAUAUGCAGGGAAAGAAAUUGCUCUCAGCUAGCGUUGCCAGUGUUUCUUAUGUGGAAGGAGAAGUGGAUCCUGAGUCAUGCACUCAGCCUGGGACCUUCCCAAGGGCUAUUUGUAGCCUCUUCACAUGGAACUUGAUCUUGUCACUGCCUUGCAAACCCUCCA